rnacentral:rRNA from 1 species
AAUGAUUUAUAUUUAAUGGCCGCGGUAUUUUGACCGUGCAAAGGUAGCAUAAUCAUUAGCCUAUUAAUUGUAGGCUUGUAUGAAUGGUUGGACGAAAUAUUUACUGUCUCAUAUUUAAUUAUUAUAAUUUAAAUUUUGAGUUAAAAUGCUUGAAUUUUUUUAUAGGACGAGAAGACCCUAUAGAUCUUUAUUUUUAAUUUGUUUAAUUAUUUUGGAUUUUUAUUAUUUUUACUUUUUUGAUUAUUUUGUUGGGGUGACAUGGGGAUAUUUAAAACUCUUUAUUUAUUUUUUCAUUGAUUUUUGUAUUUUUGACCUUUUAUUAUUGUUUUAAGAUAUAGAUACCUUAGGGAUAACAGCGUAAUUACCUUUGAGAGUUCAUAUCGACAAGGUAGGUUGCGACCUCGAUGUUGGAUUAAGAUUAUAGCUAGGCGCAGAGGCUUAGCUGGUAGGUCUGUUCGACCUUUAAAUUCUUACAUGAUCUGAGUU